UACAGAGGUGGCAAGCGUUGUUCGGAAUUACUGGGCGUAAAGGGCUCGUAGGUGGCCAACUAAGUCAGACGUGAAAUCCCUCAGCUUAACUGGGGAACUGCGUCUGAUACUGGAUGGCUUGAGUUUGGGAGAGGGAUGCGGAAUUCCAGGUGUAGCGGUGAAAUGCGUAGAUAUCUGGAGGAACACCGGUGGCGAAGGCGGCAUCCUGGACCAACACUGACACUGAGGAGCGAAAGCCAGGGGAGCAAACGGG
rnacentral:rRNA from 1 species